UACGUAGGGCGCAAGCGUUGUCCGGAAUUAUUGGGCGUAAAGAGCUCGUAGGCGGUUUGUCGCGUCUGCCGUGAAAGUCCGGGGCUCAACUCCGGAUCUGCGGUGGGUACGGGCAGACUAGAGUGCAGUAGGGGAGACUGGAAUUCCUGGUGUAGCGGUGAAAUGCGCAGAUAUCAGGAGGAACACCGGUGGCGAAGGCGGUUCUCUGGGCAUGUCCUGACGCUGAGGAGCGAAAGCGUGGGGAGCGAACAGG
rnacentral:rRNA from 1 species